rnacentral:lncRNA from 1 species
UCUGAUGAUUUGAACUCUUGUUUUCAAAGUUAUUGUUCAGUUGGGUCUUGUUUAGUUGCUUCAAGAUUAUAAUUUUCUUGUUGUUUUGUGAUUCUUGAAAUUUCGGGUUUGCAUAAAAAGAUUGGACUAAUUUGUAUGUUUUUUUUUUUUUUUUGCUAAAUAUGUAAUUUAUGGAUACCCUUUAGUUGAUUGGUUGGUGAAGUUGUCAACUUUAAAGAGAUUGGAGUGAUCACACAAAUUAUUGAUUGAUUCUUGGUUACUAGGCUUGCUUGGAUUGUGGGUUUUUUUAUGUUAUCAAUCAUGGAAUCAGCCAAGAAUUUUUGGAUGAGGUUUUUGCACAAAGCAAGAAGUUUUUCGACCUCCCGAUUGAGGACAAGAUGAAGGUUAUAAAGAAUGAGAAACAUCGCGGAUAUACUCCAAUUCUGGAUGAAUAUCUUGAUCCUGUCAAUCAAAUUAAUGGUUUGUUGUUCUACAACCUGUUCUAGUUUUUAGUUUGUAAUACUACAUAUUAAUUGCAUUAUAUUUGAAGUAUACAGUGUCCUUAAAGUGAGAAUUUGAACCCAUGACUUGUUGAUGGAAGAAGAAGGAAAGGAACCUUGCCACUAAGCCAUUAACAGAUUAUGUUUAUGGUUGAAUAAGAGUUCAUAUAAGAAAUUUUUGUAGCAUGAUUGGUUGCCCUUUGCAGAAUUUUCAUCACUAUGUUCUUAUUGAUGGGAUUUAUGAAAAUUUACCCAGGAAUAUUCAUCCAGUUGAUAAGAUUGCAUAUUUGGCAAUUGCGGUGUCCGUUUUUGAAUUGUCAAAAAGUUGUUACUUUGUCCAAGACAAACCUAAUGGUGUUUUAAUUCAGCAAAGAAAGAAGCAGCUAAUAACCUUUUACUUAUCCAAAAGAUACUAGCAUGUAACAUUUUGAUGUUUGCAGUAGAAAAUUAAUGCAUUGUAAAGAUAUUGUACAUAUUUAUUUUCCUUCUACAGGUGACUACAAAGAGGGUUAUUAUAUUGGUGUUGAAGUACCUGAAGGUGAUCCUAGAGCACAAAAGGCGUUUAUUGGCCCUAAUGUGUGGCCUGCCGCAGGUAAUUUUUGGAAAUAACUAUGUUGAUGUGAAUGAAAAUACAUUGAAAAGCGUUAGGCUUAAAGUUGGUAAGACUAUGGCCUCUUACUAAUAGUGCAGGUUUUACUAUUUAGAUCUAACUAACUGUUUUGGACUUUUUUGGUCCAUGAUUUACAGAUACGUUGCCUGAUUGGAGAGAAACAAUGGAAAGAUACCAUCAAGAAGCGCUGUAAGUUAUUAUUACCUCUACAAGAUAGAAUCAGAAGUGAAGAUUCUCUUUUAUGGUUUUAGAUAUAAUAUGACUAAUACUAGAUUAAGAACUAGAUUUUUUGACCUGUGGUUGAAGUAUUUCCAUGCUGCAUCUUAUUCAAAAGCACUUGUCACUCUAAAUUUGGUCUACAAGGUUUAGUGACAUUAUAAAGUCUGUUUAAACAUAAGGGGUCCAUCUAGGUAUUCUUAUUUAUUAAGUCAUCCGAUAGGAUUAUAACAAUGUCUCUCCUGUCUCUCCUGUAUGAAACAAGUUGUAUUAGGGAAGAAUGCUAGUCACCAAAAAUUGCAGAUUGUCAGUAGACAAUUACGUGAAAUACGAUGUGCCGUUUUAUGCUAGAUUUUAUGAUUGAUUUUAACAACUUAGUUAUGAACUGCAAUAUGAUCUUUCUAGUUUCUAUGCUAUUACAGGACAGUAGCAAGAGCAGUGGCAAGGCUCAUAUCCUUAGCAUUCGAUUUAAGGAGUGAUUUCUUUGAUCAACCCGUAAUGCUUGGUGAUCCAAUUGGAAUCCUGCGCCUGCUUCAUUAUGAAGGUGAGGCUUUAUUAUUGGAUGGAUCCCAGUAGAUAAACAAUAUGGGAUAUCAUUGUUCUUAAUAAUAUAAUUUUCAAUCCUAGGUCAUGUCUCCGAUUGCAUCAAGGGAAUAUAUGGAGCUGGUGCUCAUACUGAUUUUGGUUUUAUCACCCUCCUGACAACAGAUGAUGUUGUUGCUCUACAAGUAUGAAUAAUGCUCAACUGAAGUUACUUGGCCUUAGUAUCUUAAUCUUCUCGGCUAAUUGGCCCUGCUAAUUUCCUAUGCUUUGUUUACUUGCAAUUACUAAUCUAGAUAUGUAAGGAUAAGGAUGCUGAACCAAAUGUAUGGGAAUAUGUGGCACCAUUAAAAGGGUAAGUUUUAUGAUCUUUAUAAAUUUCACUUUCACUGUGGUGGAAAUGUUGGAAUAGUUUGCAUGUCCUUGAGAAAAAAAUCUUUACACUCACAUGCAUUCUCUCAAGUCUUAUAUCUCAGGAUGUAAGUUAUUCUACUUUCUGCUAUCUUAUUUGCUUAUCAUUCCAGGGCGUUCAUAGUAAAUAUUGGUGAUAUGCUUGAGCGUUGGAGCAACAAUAUAUUCAGGUGACAUUAAACUGAUUAACUAUCAAGAUGUACUUAAACUGAUUGGGUAUUCAUGUCAAUUAUUUAAACAAAAAGUGUUGUGUGAACUGAUAAUCGCGAUUAUAGGAAAAACAUGACAAUAAUGGGGCAUUCCGAGAAUUGAACUCGGGACCUCUCGCACCCUAAGCGAGAAUCAUACCACUAGACCAAAUGCCCAUUUUGAGAUAAUUUGGUCAAAACUGACAACAGUGUAACAUUAGUUAAGUCACGAAAUUUCACUGACGGAUAAUUAAUUCUUCGAAGACUAACCAGUGGCUAAUAUUAUCGUUUAUUGGCUCUGGUUCUCAAAAUUGAAUAGUUUUUCUUAUAUUACUAUCCUUAUAAAUAUUAUUAGCAAAAUUUGUAUUUAACUUAAUCGUGUAUUUGUGUGUGAUACUGAUACAUUUACUACCCUGGCGGAGAUUGCUGAUAGACUUCUCAAUGGGAAAGGGAAAAUGGAUAGCCCCGAAUGCAGAAGUCCCCUCCCGCUAUAGUAUACUUUGAUGGCUUCAUUACUGACGCUGAAAUUAUACAAGGCUAAAAUAAAACCAGCAUAACAGAUUUUUGUAUCACUUUAUUAUUCCCUGAUUUUUGGUUAUGGCAUACUCAUAAAGGUCUUGUUUGUUCGGAAGAAGUGGAAUGGGACAGAAUAAAAGUUUAUUUGAAAUAUUUAUUUGGACGUUCUUUCAUAGUAUUCAUUUUUCGGUCCAUUCUCCGCAACACCAAAACUAAAACCUUUGUGAUCUCUGUUUAUAUGUAUAUAUCAUGUGCAGGUCGACUUUACACCGCGUGUUAAGGACUAAACAAGAUCGAUAUUCUGUAAGUACUUUGUAGAGUUCUUAAAUGAAAUUUCUGGGAUCUAAGGCUAUCCUGUAGAUGCUUAUCUUACAAUGCUGCAUUAACUCUAAAUAAAUAGUCUAGCUUGAGUCUCUUUGCAUUGUAAGAUUUCCAAUAUUCACUCUUUAUAUUAUUGUCAAAAACUUGUAUGAUGGCUAGAAUUCAACAUUUCCAUACUCUGUUUGCUCCAAUUGUUUCGUUCUCUUCACAUGUUGGCAAGCCGCUUUAUUUAUUCACUUUCACGUAUUUUUCUCCUAGUUCAACAUUGCUAAAUCAUCAACAGAAACAAAGUUACGGUUUCUCAUCACUAUAUUCUUGUUUGCAGAUCGCUUUUUUUGUUGAGCCAAGGGAGGACUGUCUAGUCGAAUGUUUGCCAACUUGCCGGUCAGAAGAGAACCCUCCCAAGUAAGAACAACUUUUCAAUUGAGAAUUUCAUAUCCGGAUUUUGAGAGUUCUGUUGGAACACAUUUAUUCGCUCUUUGCAUAAAUGAAAGUAUGUGAUAGGCGAAUGCAGUUCAGCAAUUUAUACACAGUACUAAAUUAUAACUUGAACAGAAUUCUCAAGUUUAUAACAUUGUUUAUUACUAUGUAGGACUAAUUAAUUAACUGUUUUCCAAUUGGUUAGGUAUCCACCCAUCGAAUGUGAGGCUUAUCUUCUCCAGCGAUACAGGGAUACUCAAGCUGACCCAAGCUCAUACAAAAUAGUAUGAAUUAGCUACCUAACUGGAAGCACCAUGAACCACCGGAUCUUCUGGCCUAAUUUCAUUUCCAGAAUUAUUAGCCGAAAUUUAUUGUUAGCUCAAGCUUAACCUUUUUUUUAUUUAUAAUUAUUUCAGACAUUUGAAUCAAACAUACGCUACAAAAUGCAACAAGAGAAGGAUCAUGACCAAUUGAAAAUAAUUUAAACGGUGUAAAUGUUACUCGUUAGACAAGUAACACUAGCAAAAACUAAUAUCUUUAAAUUUUUUCAAACAAAAUAUGGCAUGAAGCAGUAAUUCAAACAAUUAACAAAAUGGCAUUCCCAGUCUUUGGCAAGAAUAGUACCCAAUUUCCAAUGUUACUAAUAAUUCCACGCUCAGGGGUGCAAUUAUAUAUACCCAAUUUUGCAAUAACGAAUGGCAUUUUUUCCAUGACAACAGCAGGGAUACAGGAAUAAAGAUUUCAGUUAAAUAGGGGCACAAACAUGUUCAUGUACAUGUAGUCCCAGAUUAUAAACUCUCAGCGUGCAUCUUAGCAAUGCAAGUAUGGUACUGGUAAAUUUUUGAUAUUAUCAUCUUCACCAACCCAUAAAACGAACUCACAAGAACUUGGAGGAAAAAUGUUACUCUCUCCGUCCCUUUUUAGUAGUCAAAAUUCGUUUUGUACCGGUCAAAUUGACCAAAAUUUGAUUAAAAUUUAUAAAUAUCUUAUCAAUUGAAAAAAUAAAAAAAAAAUAUGUCACCGGAAAUAAUUUUUAAUCUAUUUUAAAAUGUAAUUUUCUGUUUUUUAAAAUAAUUAAAGAGUGACUUGUGAUUUUUUGUCAAAAUUUAGUCAAUUUGACCAACAAAAAUAGAAAUGUGACAACUAAAAAACGACGGAGGGAGUACUAUUUCAGCUUUAAAGAAAACUUUUCGAUCAAAUAGUGCUUGUAAUUAAUUGUAUGAUAUAUAUAAAUUAUGUAUUAUUGUUAUAAAAUUGUGUGAAUUUUUAAAAGUGGAAAUCUAAUCUGAAAUUUGAAACAGAAAGGAGUAAUAUUAUAUUAAUUAUUUGAUUUGAUUUGAUUAGGAUUUAUAAAAGCGUUAAGGUUUAUUAAGCACCAUAAAGAGGAAGAGAAAGUGGUUGAAUGGAAAAUACGAGAUAAAGAUAUUAAAGUAAUCUGUGAUUAAUCCACAAAGUAGUAAAAUUUCACGUCUUUUAGCAAUCAUGUUUUGUCAUUGUCUCGUGUGUAAAUUUUGGUCCUUCGAUAACAAUUAAACGGUAGACUGUCAUUUCGUAUCGACUUCAUUGAUGAUUCCAAUUUCCAGUAGUCCAGGGUAUAAGAAGCUCCGGUACAAAAUUAUUAUAAGCAACCAUAUAUAGAGAAAUAAAAUAAAUGAUGAACUCCGUUGAGCUCAAUUGUAUUGAUCUCUGCGGCCCUGAUAUUCAAAACUCUGUUUCUUUGCUCAAACAGGUAGCCCCAGAACUAUACUUCCAUACAUACUUGUGUGAGUGUCUAAUGAUUUGAACUUUUUUUUGAAGUUAUUGUUCAGUUGGGUCUUGUUUAGUUGCUUCAAGAUUAUAAUAUUCUUGUUGUUUUGUGAAUCUUGAAAUUUUGGGUUUGCGUAAAAAGAUUGGACUAAUUUGUAUGUGUUUUUCCUAAAUAUGUAAUUUUUGGAUACCCUUUAGUUGAUUGGUUGGUGAAGUUGUCAACUUUAAAAAAAUUGGAGUGAUCACACAAAUUUUUGAUUGAUUCUUGGUUACUAGGCUUGCUUGGAUUGUGGGUUUUUUUAUGUUAUCAAUCAUGGAAUCAGCCAAGAAUAUAUGGAUGAGGUUUUUGCACAAAGCAAGAAGUUUUUCGACCUCCCGAUUGAGGAGAAAAUGAAGGUUAUAAAGAAUGAGAAACAUCGUGGGUAUACUCCAAUUCUGGAUUCAUAUCUUGAUCCUGUCAAUCAAAUUAAUGGUUUGUUAUUCUACAACCUGUUCUAGUUUUUAGUUUGUAACAUUUAUUGCAUUAUAUUCGAAGUAUACAGUGUCCUUAAAGUGAGAAUUUGAACCCAUGACUUGUUGAUGGAAGAAGAGGGAAAGGAACCUUGCCACUAAGCCAUUAACUAAUUAUGUUUAUGGUUGAAUAAGAGUUCAUAUAAGAAAUUUUUGUAGCAUGAUUGGUUGCCCUUUGCAGAAUUAUUUUCAAAUGUUCUUGUUAAUGGGAUUUAUGAAAAAUUACCCAGGAAUAUUCAUUCACUUGACAAGAUUGCAUAUUUAGCAAAUGCGGUGUCCAAUACAAACCUAAUGGUCUUUUAAUUCAGCAAAGAAAGAAGCAGCUAAUAAUCUUUUACUUAUCCAAAAGAUACUAGCAUGUAACAAUAUGAUGUUUGCAAUAGAAAAUUAAUGCAUUACAAAGAUAUUGUACAUAUUUAUUUGCCUUCUACAGGUG